ACACACACACACACACACACACACACACACACACUGUCUCUCUCAGACUGUUCUUCGGGAGACACCACGCUGUUAACACCGUCAUCUUCUGUGCUCUGGACCCACAGGAUAGGAAAUGGAAACAAGAUGGCUGCUCCUCGGCAAAGAUCUUCGGGUUUGUGGCGAGGAAAGCAGGCAGCGGUUUGGAGAACGUGUGUCAUGUGUUCGCGGAGCACGACCCCGAGCAGCCCGCCAGCGCCAUCGUCAACUUCGUCUCCAAAGUCAUGAUCGGCUCUCAGAGGACGUGAUGAACGAGGAGUCCAGACAAACCCUCUGAAAACCUGCAUUCACUGUGUUUAUAUAUUUGUGUAUUGACAGUGUAAGUGUGGUUCACACAGACUACACAGAAUUAUUCUCAUUGGAAAUAAAUCUCAACAUACAUGUUUAUGGACAGUAAUGCUUUUUAAAAUUAUUUCUAGUAUCUUAUGUGUAAUGUAUGUCACUACUGAUGACAUAAAACCAAAAACAUCUUUAUAAUGUCAUUGCAUUUUAGAUAUCUAUAUAUUUAGUAUUUUUUUUAUUUUUUUACAUGCAAAUUUCUAUUAGCCAAGUCGUUUUCUGCAGAAAAAAAAGAUACUUCAUAUAUGCAUAUAUAUAUAUAGAAAGGUUAUGCAUGUGAAAUAGUUUGAGAUGUCUGUAGUCAUGUUUGUCGUCAGAAUCAGUGCUCACAAGGUGAAUGAAUAUGACUGCUCUUGAGGCUUCUGUGAAUCUGUUCUUCAUGUCAUGAUGCUGUUUUUAUAUAAAGUCGUAUGUUGUACAAGAGUAUCUGUAUGAUAGUGUCCAGAGAAUCAGGCUUGGUUUAAUGAUCUGUGUUGUUCUGUGGACUCUUAUAAACUCGUCUGAACAGAUCAUACAUGUGAUAAUGCAUCAGCAGGGAACACAAAUGUGCUGAUGUUCACACAGAUAACUGUUGAGGGCUCUGGUUAUUUAUACUUGAUGUUGUUAAACUCACUGGUGAUUUUCAGAAACUGAAAUGAACCACUCACUCACACAGUCUCUGAAUAUCUGAAAUAUCAUGUUUUUGAAUGUCUGUUCGUGUACUUCAGCUGCUUCCAUCAGUGGCAGAAUCUGAGAAAUAAAGAGUAUACAGACAGAAAUGAUUAAGAUAUGUUUUAUCAAUUUAUUUUAAG
rnacentral:lncRNA from 1 species